rnacentral:rRNA from 1 species
GAUGAACGCUGACAGAAUGCUUAACACAUGCAAGUCUACUUGAACUUCGGUUUGGGUGGCGGACGGGUGAGUAACGCGUAAAGAACUUGCCUCACAGUUAGGGACAACAUUUGGAAACGAAUGCUAAUACCUGAUAUUAUGAUUUUAGGGCAUCCUAGGAUUAUGAAAGCUAUAUGUGCUGUGAGAGAGCUUUGCGUCCCAUUAGCUAGUUGGAGAGGUAACGGCUCACCAAGGCGAUGAUGGGUAGCCGGCCUGAGAGGGUGAACGGCCACAAGGGGACUGAGACACGGCCCGUACUCCUACGGGAGGCAGGAGUGGGGAAUAUUGGACAAUGGACCAAAAGUCUGAUCCAGCAAUUCUGUGAGCACGAUGACGUUUUUCGGAAUGUAAAGUGCUUUCAGUUGGGAAGAAAAAAAUGACGGUACCAACAGAAGAAGUGACGGCUAAAUACGUG